AGCGAACGCUGGCGGCAGGCUUAACACAUGCAAGUCGAGCGGGCACUUUCGGGUGUCAGCGGCGGACGGGUGAGUAACGCGUGGGAACGUGCCCUCUGGUUCGGAAUAACUCAGAGAAACUUGAGCUAAUACCGGAUACGCCCUUUUGGGGAAAGGCUUGCUGCCGGAGGAUCGGCCCGCGUCUGAUUAGCUAGUUGGUGAGGUAACGGCUCACCAAGGCGACGAUCAGUAGCUGGUCUGAGAGGAUGAUCAGCCACACUGGGACUGAGACACGGCCCAGACUCCUACGGGAGGCAGCAGUGGGGAAUAUUGGACAAUGGGCGCAAGCCUGAUCCAGCCAUGCCGCGUGAGUGAUGAAGGCCUUAGGGUUGUAAAGCUCUUUUAUCCGGGACGAUAAUGACGGUACCGGAGGAAUAAGCCCCGGCUAACUUCGUG
rnacentral:rRNA from 1 species